UACGGAGGAUGCGAGCGUUAUCCGGAUUUAUUGGGUUUAAAGGGUGCGUAGGCGGACUGUCAAGUCAGCGGUAAAAUUGAGAGGCUCAACCUCUUCCCGCCGUUGAAACUGGUGGUCUUGAGUGGAUGAGAAGUACGCGGAAUGCGUGGUGUAGCGGUGAAAUGCAUAGAUAUCACGCAGAACUCCGAUUGCGAAGGCAGCGUACCGGCAUCCAACUGACGAUGAGGCACGAAAGCGUGGGGAUCAAACAGG
rnacentral:rRNA from 1 species